UACGUAGGGUGCAAGCGUUGUCCGGAAUUACUGGGCGUAAAGAGCACGUAGGCGGUUUGUUGCGUCGUCUGUGAAAACUCGAGGCUCAACCUCGAGCUUGCAGGCGAUACGGGCAGACUUGAGUACUGCAGGGGAGACUGGAAUUCCUGGUGUAGCGGUGAAAUGCGCAGAUAUCAGGAGGAACACCGGUGGCGAAGGCGGGUCUCUGGGCAGUAACUGACGCUGAGGAGCGAAAGCGUGGGUAGCGAACAGG
rnacentral:rRNA from 1 species